ACUCAUACCUUGCAAGGGAAAUACCAUGGUCAUAAAAGUGGUUUUCCCAUGGGAAGGCUUAUGCAUUGCACUUCAGGUGUGCUGCUGAUCCUUAUGAUUUUCCCAAAUGUGAGGAAUUCAACUGCAUAAUUUGUGUUAAUGGGGGAUUGCCCUUGUGAUUUCCCUGG
rnacentral:snRNA from 1 species